UUGUCAAAGAAUAUUUAAUGAAUUUAAUAAGUUUUAUUUUUUUUUUUAAAUUGCAUUUUAUUGUAAUAUUAUGGUCCAUUAUUAUCAUAGGAGUUGUAUAUACAUACAUGCCUUUUGAAAGAGUUAGAAUUUAUUUAUUUUUUUUUCAUUAUUUUUUUUUAAAUAAAAAAUCCGUACAAUAAUAUUUGCAGUGGAUAUUAACUGAUUGAAAACAUGAUUGAAGACAUAAAAGUAAUUACCAAGUAUUCAAUUGCCAUCUAAUAAUUAGUAAAGAUUAAUAUUCAAUUUCCAUAAAUAAAUCUUUAAACUGAUCUCAAAGAGGAGCUGUAUAAAACCGAGUUCCAGAAUUUCUUGUAUAAUACAAUUCAACAUAUUGAAUGUAUUAAUUGUAUUUAAUCAACAUUUUCAUAUAUUUGACCAUACACCAUCAAAACAAAUUCGACAUUUGGAAAAUAAAUUUUUAUAACAACCUUUGGCACGAUUUUCACGCGAUUUGUAUAAUUUCAAAUUAAAGACACGCGUUCUUUAAAUAUAUAAAAACGUAUCCAACCACAGAGGUAUUUGUGUCGUUAAUCCUAUUAUCAAAUGACUAUAGGUCAGCUGUGAGAGGUGACCGGGAGAUUGCGUUCAUUUGUCAGCCAUGUAGUGCCAUUGCUAGAGAAGAGCCUGUCGAUGAAUCUCUUCAGUUUUGUGCGGAUAACUCACACCAGUCCGACGAAUCAUGCAACGAGACGGGUUAUGUGGUCAGUUCAUCAGUCAACACAACAUUUUCUAGUGAGAACUACGAUGUCUCUAUGUCUGAGUAUGGUAAUGAAUCUGCUGCUGAUUGUUCAAGGUCUAUCCUAGCUGACAACUCCUACUACGAACGGGAUGACGUCCUAGAGUCUUCCUGAUUUCCCUGGUGGAAAGGAUCACAACCAUGGCAGCGUGCCCUCAGCCAAAGCUGAAUAUAUACAUGUCUGGCAUAAUAUUGACAAAAAAGACAUACUAUAUGAUAUUUUAUCUUUGCAUAUAAAACAUGUUUUUAUACAUUAAAUGUUAUUGCUAUU